rnacentral:rRNA from 1 species
CGAACGCUGGCGGCAGGCUUAACACAUGCAAGUCGAGCGGGCAUCCUUGUGGUGUCAGCGGCAGACGGGUGAGUAACGCGUGGGAACGUGCCCUUCGGUUCGGAAUAACUCAGGGAAACUUGAGCUAAUACCGGAUACGUGCGAGAGCAGAAAGGUUUAUCUGCCGAAGGAUCGGCCCGCGUCUGAUUAGCUAGUUGGUGAGGUUAUGGCUCACCAAGGCGACGAUCAGUAGCUGGUCUGAGAGGAUGAUCAGCCACACUGGGACUGAGACACGGCCCAGACUCCUACGGGAGGCAGCAGUGGGGAAUAUUGGACAAUGGGGGCAACCCUGAUCCAGCCAUGCCGCGUGAGUGAUGACGGCCUUAGGGUUGUAAAGCUCUUUUCUCCGGGACGAUAAUGACGGUACCGGAGGAAUAAGCCCCGGCUAACUUCGUG